rnacentral:rRNA from 1 species
CCUACGGGAGGCAGCAGUGGGGAAUAUUGCACAAUGGGGGAAACCCUGAUGCAGCAACGCCGCGUGAAGGAAGACGGUUUUCGGAUUGUAAACUUCUAUCAAUAGGGAAGAAAGAAAUGACGGUACCGAAAUAAGAAGCAUAGGCUAACUACGUGCCAGCAGCCGCGGUAAUACGUCGGGGGCAAGCGUUAUCCGGAAUUACUGGGUGUAACGGGAGAGUAGGCGGCAAGGUAAGAGAUAGGUGAAAGCCUUACGCUUAACUUCAGGAGGGGAUAACGAACUAUCUAGCUAGCGUACAGGAGAGGCAAGCGGAAUUCCUAGUGUAGCGGUUAAAUGCGUAGAUAUU